rnacentral:misc_RNA from 1 species
CUGAGUUAUCCAACUCCCAAACCCCUGUGAACAUACCUAUGUUGCUUCGGCGGACCGUCCCGCGGCGCGCUCUCGUGGCGUGACCCGGAUCCAGGCGCCCGCCGGGGAACCAAACUCUUGUUUUCUAGUGUCUCCUCUGAGUGGCAUAAGCAAAAUGAACA